rnacentral:rRNA from 1 species
AACGAACGCUUGCGGCGCGCCUAAUACAUGCAAGUCGAACGGGGUAGCAAUACCUAGUGGCGCACGGGUGAGUAACGCGUGGAUAAUCUUCCUUCAAGUGUGGAAUAACCAGUCGAAAGAUUGGCUAAUACCGCAUGAGGCCACAAUGUCUGCGGACAAAGGGGUUAAAGAUUUAUCGCUUGAAGAUGAGUCUGCGUGGGAUUAGCUAGUUGGUGGGGUAACGGCCUACCAAGGCUACGAUCUCUAACUGGUCUGAGAGGAUGACCAGUCACACUGGAACUGAGUCACGGUCCAGACUCCUACGGGAGGCAGCAGUAGGGAAUAUUGCGCAAUGGGCGAAAGCCUGACGCAGCGACGCCGCGUGAGUGAUGAAGGAUUUCGGUUCGUAAAGCUCUGUUCUCAGGGAAAAAGAAAGUGAUUGUACCUGGAGGAGAAAGGAACGGGCUAACUUCGUGCCAGCAGCCGCGGUAAU